GCGACAUAAUCGCCAAGUGCGACAUGAAUGGUGCCCAUGGGCCAAUACCGAGCUGUUGUUGAAGAGAUGGUAGCAAUCGAGUCCAGACCUGCCAACCUAGCAGUGUCAAAAUGCACAGACAAAACUCCAAAACCAUCUGAAUGUCAACCCAAAAAGAAAAAGAUUGACAAUGUAAUUGCAUGAUGGUAAAAGCAAGUCUGAAUCUACCAAAGCAACAGCACUCAAAGACUUGCAAAG